GCGGGCGUGGCGGAACUGGCAGACGCGCUGGACUUAGGAUCCAGUGGGAUGAUUUUCCCUUGGAGGUUCAAAUCCUCUCGCCCGCACCA
rnacentral:tRNA from 1 species